rnacentral:rRNA from 1 species
UACGUAGGCAGCAAGCGUUGUUCGGAGUUACUGGGCGUAAAGGGUGUGUAGGCGGUUAUUUAAGUUUGGUGUGAAAUCUCCCGCUCAACCGGGAGGGUGCGCCGAAUACUGAAUGACUUGGAGUGCGGGAGAGGAAAGUGGAAGUUCCUGGUGUAGCGGUGAAAUACGUAGAUAUCGGAAGGAACACCAGUGGCGAAGGCGACUACCUGGCAUGAUACGACACUGAGGCGCGAAAGCGUGGGGAGCAAACAGG